GUGAGGAAUCUUCCACAAUGGGCGAAAGCCUGAUGGAGCAACGCCGCGUGAAGGAUGAAGGUCUUCGGAUUGUAAACUUCUUUUAUGAGUGAAGAAUAUGACGGUAACUCAUGAAUAAGCACCGGCUAACUACGUGCCAGCAGCCGCGGUCAUACGUAGGGUGCAAGCAUUAUCCGGAGUGACUGGGCGUAAAGAGUUGCGUAGGCGGUUAUGUAAGCGAAUAGUGAAACCUGGUGGCUCAACCACACAGACUAUUAUUCGAACUGCAUAACUCGAGAAUGGUAGAGGUAACUGGAAUUUCUUGUGUAGGAGUGAAAUCCGUAGAUAUAAGAAGGAACACCAAUGGCGUAGGCAGGUUACUGGGCCAUUUCUGACGCUAAGGCACGAAAGCGUGGGGAACGAACCGGAUUAGAAACCCGGGUAGUCC
rnacentral:rRNA from 1 species